UACGGAAGGUGCGAGCGUUAAUCGGAAUUACUGGGCGUAAAGCGCACGUAGGUGGUUUUAUAAGUCGGAUGUGAAAGCCCCGGGCUUAACCUGGGAAUUGCAUCCGAGACUGUCUGACUCGAGUAUGCUAGAGGGAAGUGGAAUUCCAGGUGAUAGCGGUGAAAUGCGUAGAUAUCUGGAGGAACACCAAUGGCGAAGGCAACUUCCUGGGGCAAUACUGACACUGAUGUGCGAAAGCGUGGGGAGCAAACAGG
rnacentral:rRNA from 1 species